rnacentral:rRNA from 1 species
AUUGGGUUUAAAGGGUGUGCAGGCGGAAGAAUAAGUCAGUGGUGAAAGCCCGCAGCUUAACUGCGGAACUGCCAUUGAUACUGUUUUUCUUGAGUUCGGUUGAGGUAGNCGGAAUGUGUAAUGUACCGGUGAAAUGCUUAGAUAUUACACAGAACACCGAUUGCGAAGGCAGCUUACUAAACCGAAACUGACGCUGAGGCACGAAAGCGUGGGGAGCGAACAGGAUUAGAUACCCUGGUAGUCCACGCUGUAAACUAUGAUCACUCGCUGUUGGCAAUACAUCGUCAGCGGCUGAGCGAAAGCAUUAAGUGAUCCACCUGGGGAGUACGGUCGCAAGAUUGAAACUCAAAGGAAUUGACGGGGGCCCGCACAAGCGGUGGAACAUGUGGUUUAAUUCGAUGAUACGCGAGGAACCUUACCUGGGCUUAAAUGUAGACUGCAUUCUCGGGAAACCGAGAUUUCCUUCGGGACUGUUUACAAGGUGCUGCAUGGUUGUCGUCAGCUCGUGCCGUGAGGUGUCGGGUUAAGUCCCAUAACGAGCGCAACCCCUAUCGUUAGUUGCCAGCGAGUAAUGUCGGGGACUCUAGCGAAACUGCCGGUGUAAACCGCGAGGAAGGUGGGGAUGACGUCAAAUCAGCACGGCCCUUAUGUCCAGGGCUACACACGUGUUACAAUGGUCAGUACAAAGGGCAGCUACCUGGUGACAGGAUGCUAAUCUCAAAAACUGGUCUCAGUUCGGAUUGAAGUCUGCAAUUCGACUUCAUGAAGCUGGGAUCGCUAGUAAUCGCGCAUCAGCAACGGCGCGGUGAUACGUUCCCGGGCCUUGUACACACCGCCCGUCAAGCCAUGGAAGCUGGGGGUGCCUGAAGUCCGUAACCGCAAGG